CCUACGGGCGGCAGCAGUGGGGAAUAUUGCACAAUGGGGGAAACCCUGAUGCAGCAACGCCGCGUGAGUGAAGAAGUAUCUCGGGACGUAAAACUCUGUCAGCAGGGAAGAAAAUGACGGUACCUGACUAAGAAGCCCCGGCUAACUACGUGCCAGCAGCCGCGGUAAUACGUAGGGGGCAAGCGUUAUCCGGAUUUACUGGGUGUAAAGGGGGCGUAGGCGGGAGCACAAGUCCGGAGUGAAAUCCCGGGGCUUAACCCCGGAACUGCUUUUGAAACUGUGCGGCUGGAGUGCAGGGGGGGUAAGCGGAAUUCCUAGUGUAGCGGUGAAAUGCGUAGAUAUUAGGAGGAACACCGGUGGCGAAGGCGGCUUACUGGACUGUAACUGACGCUGAGGCACGAAAGCGUGGGGAGCAAACAGGAUUAGAUACCCGGGUAGUC
rnacentral:rRNA from 1 species